GGCAGGUGUCCAGGAUGGGCCACAUUACGGGAAAGGCCUGAGCUUUUCCUCAAGCAACCCUUACAGGAACACUAACUGUAGCCACUGCUGGCACCUGAAACCAGCGGGCUAGCCAGGCCCCGUUUUCUUCAGCUUCUCCCUUGACUUGAUCCCUGAAGAUGGCUCUGCCUCUGGCGCCCUUGAAAUAUGUCGACUAGGUCAUGAUCACCGUGCAUUCUGCUCAGCGUAGUCUCCCCGCCUGAAGUGUUAUUAAUGCAGUCUAAAAUGACUACGGUUCUGCGGUCUACCGAACUGCCCACGGAGGUAGGGGUUUCAGACUUUUGGCAUCUCAAGAGACUUGAGAUUACCGAGACCACGAUACCCCCAGAGACGUGACGAGAUGGGAUCAAGGCCACGGGGGACCAGAAUGCUGACCCAGGCAACCUGUCCCUGCCUCGCUGCCCUUUGUAAUACUCCUUAUCAUAUCAUGAGGAGCUAUUUUCCGUUCUCCACAAACUUGGUGGUGGAUGGAAGAGGAUAUCAAGCUCACCUUGAGUGGGAUUGAGGUAGGAGGCGGGGCUCAGACACCAGACCAGAUUGAGGACAAACUAAAGCAAGGUCAGGGCCAAAGCAGCUUUCCAACAGAUAGGACCACCAGGGUGCCACGUCAGUUUACCGUUGCCAUGUCAAUACCAGGGAGUUACCGCCCCUUUCCGUGGCAGUAACCCAAUAAUUACCACCCCUUCCCUAGAAAUUUCUGCAUAAACCGCCCCUUAAUCUGUAUGCAAUUAAAAGUGUGUGUGUGUGAGUGUGUGUGUGUGUGUGUGUGUGUGUAUGUGUGUGUGUGUGUGUAUAUAUAUAUAUAUAUAUAUAUAUAUAUAUAUAUAUAUAUAUAUAUAUAUAUAUAAAACUGCAAAACUGCCCUGAGCUGCUCCUCUCUGCCUAUGGGGGAGCCCUGCUCUGCAGGAGCAGUCACGGAGCUGUAACCCUGCCUCUUCAAUAAAGCUGUUUUCUUCUACCUCUGGCUUGCCCUUGAAUUCUUUCCUGGGCAAAGCCAAGAACCCUCCUGGUGGAAGCUCCACUUUGGGGCUCACCUGCCCUGCAUCAGGAUUACAGGUGGGAGCGUUGCGGAGUAGAGCGAUCCGCUGACACUGCCUCUGGUCUGCAUUGGGGAAUGGCGGCCGGUCGGGCGGGGUCACAGACCAUAGCUUCAAGCUUUGUUCUUGGGGAUUCCAGGGACUGAAAAGUGGGUGCUUUCUGGCUACCUAGCAUCCACUUCCUCUCUUCCCCAUGCAAAGAGGCUGAAGUGAAUGGCGUCAGUCCUCGCCCUCCUCAGUCAAGGGGCAGACACUAUCUGAGAUUUAAAUCCUGUCCCCACUAGCAGAGGCCCUCUGAGGCCAGUCCCGCCCAGGGACACUGCCAAGGGCUUCCUGGCUCUAGGA
rnacentral:lncRNA from 1 species